AUUGAACGCUGGCGGCAUGCUAUACACAUGCAAGUCGAACGGUAACAGGGAGCUUGCUCCGCUGACGAGUGGCGAACGGGUGAGUAAUGCGUCGGAACGUGCCGAGUAGUGGGGGAUAACGCAUCGAAAGGUGUGCUAAUACCGCAUACGUACUGAGGUAGAAAGUGGGGGACCUUCGGGCCUCACGCUAUUCGAGCGGCCGACGUCUGAUUAGCUAGUUGGUGAGGUAAAGGCUCACCAAGGCGACGAUCAGUAGCGGGUCUGAGAGGAUGGUCCGCCACACUGGGACUGGGACACGGCCCGGACUCCUACGGGAGGCAGCAGUGGGGAAUUUUGGACAAUGGGCGCAAGCCUGAUCCAGCCAUGCCGCGUGUCUGAAGAAGGCCUUCGGGUUGUAAAGGACUUUUGUCCGGGAGCGAAUGCCUGGUGUUAAUAGCAUCGGGAGCUGAGAGUACCGGAAGAAUAAGCACCGGCUAACUACGUGCCAGCAGCCGCGUAACAC
rnacentral:rRNA from 1 species